rnacentral:rRNA from 1 species
UACAGAGGUCCCGAGCGUUGUUCGGAUUCACUGGGCGUAAAGGGUGCGUAGGUGGUGAGGUAAGUCGGAUGUGAAAUCUCCAAGCUCAACUUGGAAAUGGCAUUGGAAACUACCUUGCUGGAGGUUUGGAGGGGGGACUGGAAUUCUCGGUGUAGCAGUGAAAUGCGUAGAUAUCGAGAGGAACACCAGUGGCGAAGGCGAGUCCCUGGACAAAACCUGACACUGAGGCACGAAAGCUAGGGGGAGCAAACAGG